CCUUGGGUACUGCGGAGACAUUACCUAG
rnacentral:rRNA from 1 species